rnacentral:rRNA from 10 species
CUAUGGCCACGCCUGUCCGAGGGUCG